CCACAUUUUUGGCAAUAAAAACCCCACUAAAUUGAAGCAUUUAACCUCAAACUUAAAUGACACCCAUGUUUUCUCUCUUAAAUGAAAUUUGACCCUUCAUUUGCUUUAAGUUAUGAGAUAUUUACCUAUAAAUAGAGACCUCAUUUCACUCAUUUUUUCUCACACCAAAAGCAAGAGCUUUUACAUACUAAAGAAAGAGUUUCC
rnacentral:lncRNA from 1 species